rnacentral:rRNA from 1 species
UACAGAGACUGCGAGCGUUGUUCGGAAUUACUGGGCGUAAAGGGCGCGUAGGCGGCCCGCUAAGUCGAACGUGAAAUCCCCGAGCUCAACUCGGGAACUGCGUCCGAUACUGGCGGGCUUGAAUCCGGGAGAGGGAUGCGGAAUUCCAGGUGUAGCGGUGAAAUGCGUAGAUAUCUGGAGGAACACCGGUGGCGAAGGCGGCAUCCUGGACCAUAACUGACACUGAUAAGCGAAAGCCAGGGGAGCAAACGGG